rnacentral:rRNA from 1 species
AGUGAACGCUGGCGGCAGGCCUAACACAUGCAAGUCGAACGGCAGCACAGAGGAGCUUGCUCCUUGGGUGGCGAGUGGCGGACGGGUGAGGAAUACAUCGGAAUCUGCCUAUUUGUGGGGGAUAACGUAGGGAAACUUACGCUAAUACCGCAUACGACCUACGGGUGAAAGCGGAGGACCUUCGGGCUUCGCGCAGAUAGAUGAGCCGAUGUCGGAUUAGCUAGUUGGCGGGGUAAAGGC